rnacentral:rRNA from 1 species
AACGCGAAGAACCUUACCAAGGCUUGACAUGGACCGGACCGCCGCAGAAAUGUGGUUUCUCCUUUUGGGGCCGGUUCACAGGUGGCGCAUGGUUGUCGUCAGCUCGUGUCGUGAGAUGUUGGGUUAAGUCCCGCAACGAGCGCAACCCUCGUUCCAUGUUGCCAGCACUUAGGGUGGGGACUCAUGGGAGACUGCCGGGGUCAACUCGGAGGAAGGUGGGGACGACGUCAAAUCAUCAUGCCCCUUAUGUCUUGGGCUUCACGCAUGCUACAAUGGCCGGUACAAAGGGUUGCGAUACUGUGAGGUGGAGCUAAUCCCAAAAAGCCGGUCUCAGUUCGGAUUGGGGUCUGCAACUCGACCCCAUGAAGUCGGAGCCGCUAGUAAUCGCAGAUCAGCAACGCUGCGGUGAAUACGUUCCCGGGCCUUGUACACACCGA